GUCUACCGCCUCACCACCCUGAACACGCAAUCUCACCCGAUCUUGGAAGCUAAGCAGGGUUGGGCCUGGGUGAUACUGGGAUGGUUGGACGGGAAACUGUCCAAGAAUGUUGGCGUGCUGUGGGCU
rnacentral:rRNA from 1 species